UCACUCUGUAUCUCUUUGACUGUGGCAAAUUGCUGCUGUAUUUGCUGCUUCUCAAGAUAUGAAAGACAAAAGUGAAAUCAGACCUGGCCAUUGAUGAGUACAGAGAAGUUGAUGGAGCCAAAGAGCAUUGUCUGUCCAAGGGCAUUGUUGUACACUGAAAUGUUCUCAGUCAUUAUGUGGAUUUUUUUCUGCUUGCAGAAGAGGCACUGGGCAAAGGGGAUUUCUGUGUGCUCAGGUGGGCACCUGGUUUAAACCCCAGAGCAAUUCCUACAGCUUUAUGGAAAUUGUGCAUCUCUGUCUUUUUAGGACUUCGAAGUCCUGUUGGGACUUCAGCACUUUGGGAUUUCAUAAGUUCUCCCUAUGGACAAAUCUGCAGGACCAGAGUACCCUGGGAUUGUAAGAGAAGUUCUGAGACUAUGCAUCAGAAGUCAGAUAAAGUAAAACAAUAAGGCAGAACACUCUGGAAUUUCGUUUGAAAAUAGAACCAUCCUUGGAGGGAGGCACGGUACAAAAUUUCGGCCUGCAAUCACAACAAAUACCCCUGAAGCCUUUUUCUCAACCUCUGUAAGCAUAGAAAAAAUUAUUAAAAAAUAACGAGAUAA